rnacentral:rRNA from 1 species
AUUGAACGCUGGCGGCAUGCCUAACACAUGCAAGUCGAACGAGGUGUAGCAAUACACCUAGUGGCGGACGGGUGAGGAAUACGUAGGAAUCUGCCUCAGAGUGGGGAUGAGCCCGGGGAAACCCGGAUUGAUACCGCAUGAUGUAGCAAUACCAAAGCAGGGGACCGCAAGGCCUUGCGCUCUGAGAGGAGCCUACGUCUGAUUAGCUAGUUGGCGGGGUAAUGGCCCACCAAGGCAACGAUCAGUAACUGGUCUGAGAGGACGAUCAGUCACACCGGAACUGAGACACGGUCCGGACUCCUACGGGAGGCAGCAGUGGGGAAUAUCGGACAAUGGGCGAAAGCCUGAUCCAGCAAUGCCGCGUGUGUGAAGAAGGCCCUUCGGGUUGUAAAGCACUUUAGUCAGGGAAGAAAAAUGCUCAAGCUAAUAUCUUGGGUGUUGACGGUACCUGAAGAAUAAGCACCGGCUAACUCUGUGCCAGCAGCCGCGGUAAUACAGAGGGUGCAAGCGUUAAUCGGAUUUACUGGGCGUAAAGCGUGUGUAGGUGGCUGUUCAAGUCGGUUGUGAAAUCCCCGGGCCGUCAACUGGGGAAUUGCUUCCGAGACUGAGCGGCUAGAGUACGGUAGAGGGCGGUGGAAUUUCCCGGUGNAGCGGUGAAAUGCGUAGAUAUCGGAAGGAACACCAAUGGCGAAGGCAGCCCGCUUUGGGGGCCCUGUUAACUGACACU